rnacentral:rRNA from 1 species
GAUGAACGCUGGCGGCGUGCCUAAUACAUGCAAGUAGAACGCUGAAGGAAGGAGCUUGCUCUUUCCGGAUGAGUUGCGAACGGGUGAGUAACGCGUAGGUAACCUGCCUGGUAGCGGGGGAUAACUAUUGGAAACGAUAGCUAAUACCGCAUAACAGUAGAUGUUGCAUGAUAUCUACUUAAAAGGUGCAAUUGCACCACUACCAGAUGGACCUGCGUUGUAUUAGCUAGUUGGUGAGGUAACGGCUCACCAAGGCGACGAUACAUAGCCGACCUGAGAGGAGAAUCGGCCACACUGGAACUAGAACACGGCCCAACCUCCUACGGGAGGCAGCGGAGGGAAUCUUCGGCAAUGGACGGAAGUCUGACCGAGCAACGCCGCGUGAGUGAAGAAGGUUUUCGGAUCGUAAAGCUCUGUUGUAAGAGAAGAACGAGUGUGAGAGUGGAAAGUUCACACUGUGACGGUAUCUUACCAGAAAGGGACGGCUAACUACGUG